rnacentral:misc_RNA from 1 species
ACAGAAGAUUUCCAGUGCCAUGGAAUGAUGGAGAUUCCGACUCGUCGAAAUACGAGAUCUAUACGAGUUACAUCCAGAAGACCAUUGCAGGGUAGGAGCAGACGUCAAAAUAACAAUCCGGUUAUUCUAAAUGAUGACGAUGCUGAGCCUCAAAAUGUAUCCUGUAUUGAUCUGACAGAUUUGGAUGCAGAUUUCAUUGAUUUGACGAGUCCUGCCCCUAAUGACGCAAGCAUUAUCAUUCUUCCUGGAACAGAAUCUACAGGUAAUGUGAUAUUCUAUUUGCUCAUGAUACACAUCUUAUAUAGCUGUAUCAAUAUAUCAGACAUAAACAUUGAAUAUUCUUCAUGUUAAGGUUUACAACAUUGAAAUUAACAAAGAUUUAUCUGAAAUAUUGCCACAUUCACUGGUAAAAGCCAGGUUGAUAAUUGUCCAAAAAUAAACACACAUGGAGUUUUUGUCCCUGAAAUACUCAAAAUUAAUGAAAGUACAUACAUUUUACUGAUGAAUCCUUUUAUUCAAACAUGAUCUUCUGACCACACCCUACAGGGUACGACAUAAAUUCAAUACUUAACGGAAAUACUCAUACCUGUCAUAAAUUUUCCUACCAACAUAAAUAUGAAAUACAUCUGUAAAAUUUGAUUUGAAGAACACGUUCCAGGGCAUGUUAGAAAAAAGACUUAUCAAUAGCUCUGAAUCUAGGGUGUUCUAUUGAUUAAUAAGUACAUGUAUUUUAAAACAUUAUUUUUUUAUUUGUUGCAAAGAACCAAGGGCAAGGCCUAGAACAAGUAGGAGGGGUUCAAGGACCAGAAGGCAAUCUGACAGAGUUAACUUGGACGAUUCAGAGAAUGAUGUCAUUGAAAUCUCGGAGUCUUACCAAGCCUUGCCUCUUCCUCUGUCCUUUGAGGAUGCAGGAAAUGAAUCUUUCAAUGCCAAUGAUUCUUUGAGAUCACCAAGGCAAGAAAUUAGCUGUCCAAUUUGUAUGGAUAACAAAAAACAGAUACAGAGAAGUGGGAGACAGUUGAUUUCUACAGUGUGUGGCCAUGUGUUUUGUGAGCCUUGUAUCAAAGCAUCCAUUACAACUCAGCGAUGUUGUCCAACCUGCAGGAAGAAGCUGACCCAGCGACAAAUCCAUCCUCUGUAUAUAUGAUGUCUAUGAAUGGUGACAAUAGGAGCGUACUUGUAAACAUUUCACAUUUGAUAUUCUCUCUGUUUUUGUAGAUAUCUUAGUAUUAAGAUUCACUUCAUUCUUAUUUGUGUAGAUACAAGUGUCAAUGGGAGUUAUCUGGAUGCACAUCAGCAUAUUUGAACAGAUGAUGUUGAUUGACAAUCACUUUAUUUUCUUUAUUCUCCUUAGAAUAAAUUGAGGUUUGUCAUGUAAUAUAUAGUACAGGGUUUUAAUGAUUACAGAGAGAUUUCAGAUUAAGUAUUUCAUCAACACUGACUAUUGUUUUGCUUGCCAUGCCAUUUGAGGGUUCUACUUAUGGGUUGGCAAGCACAAGAUUUUUUAUGAUUUGGUAAAAAUAUUUCACUGGUCUGUUAAAAGAAUGAGGAUCGAGUCUGCCAUGUUGAUAAAAUUUGAAUCAGUUAAGGUUAUAUGUGUGAAAGAGGUUUCAUUUGGUCAUUGCUAGGGGGUUUGAAUGAGUUUAAUCUUAAUCAAAUACAUGUAUUAAUUUUUCAUAAAUCAUUACUAAAAGAAAAUAGAUUUAGGAUAAUUGAAAUUCCCUGUAAAAUUCUUAUUAUCAUAGCACAGAGACUUUUAUUUAAACAAUUUUUUUUUUAAAUUGUCUAAUAUAGAUACUUUUCUUCUUUUUGAUGUAAAUUCUCAUGCCUCUUUUAAAAAUGAUGUACAUGUACAUUACUUUUCAUGUAAAAUUAUGCCUUGUUUUAACCAGAUUUCUACUUUUGAAUCCAUAAUUCUGUUCAUUGAUGCCAAAAUCUGUAAAAAAGUUUUCAUUUGGAGCAUUUUGCAUUGUCGAAGAAGUACAAAUGACAUUAAAGCAUUGAAAAAGC